UCUUUACUUUCUUUGUAUUUAACAAAGGAAAUGAUACUCUCACAGCAUAAGAGAUCUUCAGUACAUCAGAGCAAAAAAAUACAAAGUUAUAUUUGUCAGCCUGGAAAUAUGAAUUCUCAUGGAGUUCUGCCUGAUUUCGGAUGAAAAAAUAUACUGUAAUGAGAUGCUACAAUCUAUCUCUUAACAUAGUAAUGAUGAUAUCUCUAAUUUAUUCCAAGUAAACUCAAAUAUAGUACAGUAAAAAAACCUAAUUAUAAUGGUAAAAAGAUGUUACUGCAAGUUUUCUACUGAAACUAGAUAUCGAACUUCUGAAACAUGCAAAUAAAUCUAUGCCAAGUAAUGUCUGCAAACAAAUGAUUAAUGAUAGGAAUUAAACCAAAAUAUCAAGUGCCGCGGCAAGAGUUCCCUACCAAAGACUAUGAAAUUCAUGAAUCUGGAAAAUUAGCCUACAAUGUACCUAUCAAUUAACUAUCUUAUGGAGGUCUUGCCAAAGCCCUUUUGAAGAAAAGACGGAACUAGUCAUUAAUUCUGUAUCAAGCACAGCCAAAUAGCUAGUGCUAGUGGGAUCCCACAAAAAGCCUGCAGGCAUUAUGACUAAUAAUUCUCCCACUUGCUUCUAAAAUUAAUGGGGUCAUGAAAAGAACUUGAAUUAUUGGGGACUUACCAGUGUUACUCAGUCCUAACCUCUAUAUCUCCAUCUUUAUAAACUUGCAGCAAAUUAAACCAUGGUCAUGCAAGUUUAUAGCCAAUCACAUUCAUGGGCCAAGCCAGAAUUUAUUAGAACUAAAUUUAGUUGACUGUAGAGAAGAAUGCAUGUGCCAUGUGCAGAUUGUACAGAGAGAACAAGAGAAUGUAAGAUAUGGCUAGUAUAUAUCCUGAUGUAACUUCAUUGAUAUGUAAAUGCUGGAUGCAUAAAUAGAACUUCUAGUACUAAACUCCAUUAACAGCUGUUCCUUUCAUUACACAAACAUUCAACUCUAAGAAUAGAAAGGUCACAAAUAGACAGUACAUCAGAGUAACUCUGAACCAUAUAUAUGCUAUGGACCUUCAGUGUAAUACAGACUAAGGAGAAUAUAUAUAUGUGUGUGUGCGCGCGCGCGUAUGAUUUUUAGUACAGUAGUUUUUCUGGCUGAGAACAGAGGUUAGAGAUCGCAUUUAUCAUCAGUUUCAUAUAUGGUUCUUCAGUUUUAUACAAUAUGGAAUCUGGUAGAUAAGUCAACUACUAUAUUUUAUGACAACUACUAUAUUUCAUGAGAACUGAA
rnacentral:lncRNA from 1 species